UGUAUGAUGUGAGACAUUCCAUUUAAAUCAACUUUCUCUCCCUGCGCCCCCCUCCCCACCCCCCCCCAACCCUAAAAUGAUGAAAAUGCCAAACAGGCUUGUGCUCCAUCUUCUCAUUUUCUUACCUCCCUUUGAAAAGCAACUCUUGACCUUUUUAGCUAAGACUCAGCAUUCCACUAGUUGGCUGGGGUGAAGUUAUGAACUUAGAAAUCUGAAUGAUAAAUUCGUCAAGCUACAGCCUAAAACCCAUUGGCACAAUUACAGUUUAUACAUUUGUUAAGCAAUUCUUGCAUUUAAUUCACUUUAUCAGUUAACAAAAAUAUGCAGAGAUAAAAUCCUGUCCAUAGCUUUAGCUCAACUUAUCUCACCACCUUUGUUCAGGAUCAAUGCCUGCUUUUAUGAUUAACUGCAAAGCCAGAAAUGGCAGAGCAUGAAGAAAGCUUGUUCAAAGACUUUGUGAUCACUGCUCAAUCUCACAUGAGUACUGGCAACAGUGAUCUUAAAACUUGGAAAUCUGACUUGACUUUAAUUUAAAGUAACACUGCAGCAGCCAAAGCAAUACACUGAGCAUAGGACCAAGAUACUUCAUGAAGAAUAAAAUCUGUCACAAUCGCACUGUGACUUAACCUCUCAGAUGACAUAGCAUUUCCUGAAAGGCAGUUUCUUGGAGGAUUUAAAAGAAAAAAAAAAAAAAGGGUGAAGGAAAAAGAAAAACCCAAACCAACAGAAAACAGAGGCUCCUGUGGUCUGUUUCGAGCCAGAAAUCCUAAAUUCAGCUUUGGCAGCAAAUCCCAUCAGGGCUUUCCAAAGGGCUGCAUGGGAUUCCAUUUUCAAAAGGACUUAAAAGUUUUAGAAGCAGGUUUCCUUGUUUGAAGUGAUUUAGACUAAUGAGCUAAAACAUUGCUGCAUGUACUGCUUCAUGCUCUGUUAUGUCCAGUCCAGUGAGAAGUAGGGUUCUCCCACAACUCCUGACGGAUUUAGAUAUAAGGGUUUGAAAUACUGGAACCUUGUUUCUUACA